rnacentral:rRNA from 1 species
CAGCUUGGGACCGGAAGGCUCGAAGGGUACGUGCGGGGUAGGAGUGAAAUCCCAUAAUCCCGCACGGACCACCGAUGGCGAUAGCACUUCGAGAAAACGGAUCCGACAGUGAGGGACGAAAGCCAGGGUCUCCAACCGGAUUAGAUACCCGGGUAGUCCUGGCCGUAAACAAUGUUCGCUAGGUAUGACACAGACUACGUGUCUCUGUUGUGCCGUAGGGAAGCCGAGAAGCGAACCGCCUGGGAAGUACGUCUGCAAGGAUGAAACUUAAAGGAAUUGGCGGGGGAGCACUACAACCGGAGGAGCCUGCGGUUUAAUUGGACUCAACGCCGGACAUCUCACCAGCUCCGACUACAGUGAUGACGACCAGGUUGAUGACCUCAUCACGACGCUGUAGAGAGGAGGUGCAUGGCCGCCGUCAGCUCGUACCGUGAGGCGUCCUGUUAAGUCAGGCAACGAGCGAGACCCGCACCCCUAAUUGCCAGCAACAGUUCCGACUGGUUGGGUACAUUAGGAGGACUGCCAGUGUUAAACUGGAGGAAGGAACGGGCAACGGUAGGUCAGUAUGCCCCGAAUGAGCUGGGCAACACGCGGGCUACAAUGGCUAAGACAAUGGGUCGCUAUCUCGACAGAGAACGCUAAUCUCAAAACUUAGUCGUAGUUCGGAUUGAGGGCUGAAACUCGCCCUCAUGAAGCUGGAUUCGGUAGUAGCCGCCUUUCAGCAGAAGGCGACGAAUACGUCCCUGCUCCUUGCUCACACCGCCCGUCAA